AUAGGAAAGUGAGUAUUUCAAUCCCAACAAUUUGCCUAGUGUUUUUCUUUUUCUACUUGCACAACAAGUUCAAUGCUUUUCCUCUCCAAACCCUUAAAAUUCAAAAAGUAUAAAAUAACUCUUCAAUUUGUUCGUAAAUCAAAGUUGUUUAUAACGGAUGUUUGUGACCCAUUACUCCAUUAGAGAGGAUGACUUAUCAUUACCCUUACUCAAAUGGGAGCUUUGAAGCGAACCUUUCUA